rnacentral:rRNA from 1 species
AUUGAACGCUGGCGGCAGGCCUAACACAUGCAAGUCGAGCGCGCGGCGGACGGGUGAGUACUGUCUGGGAAACUGCCUGAUGGAGGGGGAUAACUACUGGAAACGGUAGCUAAUACCGCAUACCCUCAGAUGUGCCCAGAUGGGGUUAGCUCGUAGGUGGGGUAACGGCUCACCUCGGCGACGAUCCCUAGCUGGUCUGAGAGGAUGACCAGCCACACUGGAACUGAGACACGGUCCAGACUCCUACGGGAGGCAGCAGUGGGGAAUAUUGCACAAUGGGCGCAAGCCUGAUGCAGCCAUGCCGCGUGUGUGAAGAAGGCCUUCGGGUUGUAAAGCACUUUCAGCGGGGAGGCGUUACCCGCAGAAGAAGCACCGGCUAACUCCGUGCCAGCAGCCGCGGUAAUUC